rnacentral:rRNA from 1 species
UACGAAGGGUGCAAGCGUUACUCGGAAUUACUGGGCGUAAAGCGUGCGUAGGCGGUUUGUUAAGUCCGCUGUGAAAGCCCUGGGCUCAACCUGGGAAUUGCAGUGGAUACUGGCAAGCUAGAGUGCGGUAGAGGAUGGUGGAAUUCCCGGUGUAGCGGUGAAAUGCGUAGAGAUCGGGAGGAACACCCGUGGCGAAGGCAGCACUCUGGUACAUGACUGACGCUGAGACGCGAAAGCGUGGGUAGCAAACAGG